rnacentral:sRNA from 1 species
AUAGUAAUCAAGGCCACGUACAAGCCGUGGAUUAAUAA